rnacentral:rRNA from 1 species
AGUGAACGCUGGCGGUAGGCCUAACACAUGCAAGUCGAACGGCAGCACAGUAAGAGCUUGCUCUUACGGGUGGCGAGUGGCGGACGGGUGAGGAAUACAUCGGAAUCUACUUUUUCGUGGGGGAUAACGUAGGGAAACUUACGCUAAUACCGCAUACGACCUACGGGUGAAAGCAGGGGAUCUUCGGCCCUUGCGCGAUUGAAUGAGCCGAUGCCGGAUUAGCUAGUUGGCGGGGUAAAGGCCCACCAAGGCGACGAUCCGUAGCUGGUCUGAGAGGAUGAUCAGCCACACUGGAACUGAGACACGGUCCAGACUCCUACGGGAGGCAGCAGUGGGGAAUAUUGGACAAUGGGCGCAAGCCUGAUCCAGCCAUACCGCGUGGGUGAAGAAGGCCUUCGGGUUGUAAAGCCCUUUUGUUGGGAAAGAAAAGCAGCAGGUUAAUACCCCGCUGUUCUGACGGUACCCAAAGAAUAAGCACCGGCUAACUUCGUG